UACAGAGGUCUCAAGCGUUGUUCGGAUUCAUUGGGCGUAAAGGGCGCGUAGGCGGUUCGUUGUGUCGGUGGUGAAAUCCCCGGGCUUAACCUGGGAAUGGCCAUGGAAACUGGCGAACUGGAGUGCGGCAGAGGGGGGUGGAAUUCCGCGUGUAGCAGUGAAAUGCGUAGAGAUGCGGAGGAACACCGAUGGCGAAGGCAGCCCCCUGGGCUAGCACUGACGCUCAGGCACGAAAGCGUGGGGAGCAAACAGG
rnacentral:rRNA from 1 species